rnacentral:misc_RNA from 1 species
CUAGCCGAUAUCGGUAGCUAUUGAUUUUUGUAUUUUUGCGGGGAUUUUUAAUUUUUAAAAUAUUUCAUGCUUUUGUUUUUUAUUGUGCGACACUGCACAGUGCACACUCGAUUUCGAAAUGUUUGUUCGUCUGCUCACUGCUCCUAUCACAUGAGAGAUGGGACUGAUUAUUGAUAGCACGCUGAUAAACAAAAAAUUGUGCACUGUGAAAUCCCUUUCAUAUUACGAAAUUGAUUUUCAAUCAUUGUAUAAUCAUAACUCAUUGUUAUUUUGCAAAAACUGUAAUUUCUACAUGUCCAGCCAAUCAUGCGUUCGCUGAAAUUCCAAGCUCGUCUACUCUUCCAUCGUAUCGGGAUAUCCCUUCUUAAAAGAAAUGCUUCAAGCCUAAACAGCUCUCAUUCAAAAUACUGGGAGCUAAUAGAAAAUUAUACGGUUAUAUCUCAGAAACACUUGACUCCAGAAAUUAAGCUGAAAUUAAUCACACAAGAAUGUCAAGCGUGGAAUCAACCAGUGGAACAGAAUUCACCACAUCCCUUAGGUGAACCAUUUUGGGCAUUCUACUGGCCUGGAGGUCAAGCACUUUCAAGAUACAUUUUAGAUAACCCCUUGAUUGCAAAAAGGAAACGAGUACUGGAUUUUGGGUGUGGAAGUGGAGCACUUUCUAUUGCUGCUUUAAAAUCUGGAGCCAAAUUUUCUGUUGCAAAUGAUAUAGAUACCAUGGCUAUCGCGGCUUCGCAGUUGAAUGCGCAAAUAAACGCGGUGGAGCUGAACGUUUGCGAAGAUAAUCUAAUUGGCAGUGAUUGUGCGGAUUUCGAUUUAAUUCUCGUAGGCGAUAUGCUGUACGAUUCAGCCCUCUCGGAUGUUAUAGCAGCUUGGUUAAUGAAGCUUCGGCUAGCCGGAAAGGUGAUCCUCGUCGGCGAUCCAGGUCGAGGACCUGUUGCAACAAGAGCUACUACGCGUAGGAAUUUCGUUUGAUUUCCCUCUGAAGAGCUGUAAUAAAUAUUUGGGAGGUAACAUCUCAAUUCAAUAGGAAACCUGUCUAUUGGAAGAUCGCAUUCUUGGGGUUUUAUUACCUGGUGUCUCAUUGUUAACGUAUUGACCACAAUUGAGAGGAUUAAUCAAGUCCCCUGUCAACCAGGUUAAAUCGGCAGGGAAGAAUGGCCAACGCAAAUCACGGUAGACACAAGACCUGUUCAUUACAGAAGUAUUUAAUUACUAAAAAGCAAUAACAGAUGGAUUCCCCUAUAUUAUUUUAAUUUCUUACUUGAAAAUUUUGCGUGAAAUUCCUCUAUCUUUUCCGUCUAUGUGUAAGCCGUCAAUACAGCGGAAAAUGAAUGGAUUUACAAUCGACUGAAGUAGCAACGGUUCCAUAACUCGGUAUACAGUCCCUGUAGAUGAAAUAUGGAAGAUAAAGUCUAUGCAUCUUUAAAAAAAUUUCUGUAACUCAUCAAAAACCUGGAUACAAAGCUACAAUGGAACCUGCAGUUACCGUUCCUUUUGAUACGAAAACUCCAGUGCCAGCUUCAGGAAUAUUACUCUUUCUUAGCUGAAUGGUGUAGCCCAACACUCUUUCCAUGACCUACUUUAAAUGUACAGAAGUGGCCAUCUAAUGUUAA